rfam:Metarhizium robertsii ARSEF 23 MAA_Scf_5, whole genome shotgun sequence.
CAGUGCAUGUGAUGACUUAGCCUUUUAUUUUUUAUACAGUUAUCCCUGUCUGAAAGUUUCUUUCUUGUGUGGAUAAAGCCUAACUUCUGAUCUCUG